CCCACCAAAGCGACGAUCAGUAGCCGGCCUGAGAGGGUGGAAAACGGCCACAUUGGGACUGAGACACGGCCCAGACUCCUACGGGAGGCAGCAGUAGGGAAUAUUGCACAAUGGGGGAAACCCUGAUGCAGCGACGCCGCGUGAGCGAAGAAGUAUCUCGGUAUGUAAAGCUCUAUCAGCAGGGAAGAAAAUGACGGUACCUGACUAAGAAGCACCGGCUAAAUAC
rnacentral:rRNA from 1 species